AGAUUCGGCCUCACCGGUCCCAACGAUUUGU
rnacentral:rRNA from 1 species